ACCCACGACAAAUCUUACCACUUCUUGUAUAUUAUACAUUUUAAUUUUAUUUAUUUAUCUUAUCUAUCUAUCUAUCUAUAAUAGAUAAUUAAUAAAUUUAUUAUCUAUAAUAAUUAAUAAAUUUAUUAUUUCUAAUAAAUAGAUAAGAUAAUUUAUUAAUUAAAAAAAUAAUACAGGUGUUGCAUGGCUGUCUUUAGUUCGUGUUGUGAAAUGUUAGGUUUAUUCCGAGAACGAACGCAACCCUUAUCUUUAAUUACAUUUAAAUUAAAUUGAAGUAUCUUUCGAUAAGAAAGAAUAAUUAGGAUGAAGACAAGUCCUCAUGACCCUUAUGAAGUGGGCUACAGACGUGCCACAAAGAUUUCUACAAAAGGAAGCAAAGACCGAAGUUAGAGCCAAUCCUCAAAAGGAAUCCAAGUACGAAUAAGAAUCUGGAACUCGAUUCUUUGAAGAAGGAAUUGCUA
rnacentral:rRNA from 1 species